rnacentral:rRNA from 1 species
GGGUGCAGCAGGCGCGAAACCUUUACAAUGUGCGGAAGCAUGAUAAGGGAACUCCGAGUGCCAGUAUCUAAUACUGGCUGUCCUUGUGCCUAAAACGCACAAGAUAGCAAGGGCCGGGUAAGACCGGUGCCAGCCGCCGCGGUAACACCGGCGGCCCGAGUGGUAGCCGCUAUUAUUGGGUCUAAAGGGUCCGUAGCCGGUUCGAUAAGUCCUCUGGGAAAUCUGGUUGCUUAACAAUCAGACUGCCAAGGGAUACUGUCGAACUUGAGACCGGGAGAGGUAAGAGGUACUUCAGGGGUAGGAGUGAAAUCUUGUAAUCCCUGGGGGACCAUCUGUGGCGAAGGCGUCUUACCAGAACGGGUCUGACGGUGAGGGACGAAAGCUGGGGGCGCAAACCGGAUUAGAUACCCGGGUAGUCCCAGCCGUAAACGAUGCUCGCUAUGUGUCAGGUACGGUGUGACCGUAUCUGGUGCCGUAGGGAAGCCGUGAAGCGAGCCACCUGGGAAGUACGGCCGCAAGGCUGAAACUUAAAGGAAUUGACGGGGGAGCAC